UAUAUAAACUGAAUUGAGGGGCUUGGAAUCCUGGCAACCUUGUCGAUAGCCACCACAAGUCAUUCGGUUCGAAAGCCACGAUCCAAUCCAAUCCAAUCGGAACUUUUCCCUCUUUUUUUUUUAUAGCUGUUUCGCGGAGUUUUUUUUAGGGAGGCCUUGUAGGUACUACAACGGGUUUGCUAUCAAGAGGAGCAGCGACAUGGAAAUGGAAGGGAGCUGCCCUUCCCAUCACGAGGUAGAAUCCUCACUCGGGAGGUGCUCAGCAAUGUCUCCUGAGGCUCUCAGUCAGCAUGUGCAUGGCAGCCCUCCUGUCUCACGGGAGCGCAAGUCCUCGUAUGGAAGGCAGUCCAAAUCACCGGAGCGGUCCAGGAGUGGGGUCCAUGGCAGCCGUUCAGUUUCUCGUGAGUUUGAGGAACUUCCGUGGAGGCGUUCACUCUCCCCUAGGCACUCUACCCAGCAGGCACAUGGGAGCCGCCCUUCCCAUCACGAGGUAGAAUCCUCACUCGGGAGGUGCUCAGCAAUGUCUCCCGAGGCCCUCAAUCAGCAUGUGCAUGGCCCUGUUCCCAGCGCAGGGCGGCCGCGUGAUAUUACUGCUCAUAUGCCACCAGGGGCAAUUUCGGGCCCACAAUGGACAGAUUUCAUGACGCAGGUGCUGAGGAUGUUGCAUACACUCAAGCAGAGACAACAACAGCAAUCAGAACAACGGGCACUCCUUGCCAACAUGCUCGACAGUGUGCUGCCUGCACCGACCGAACCUCUUGUUGUUGCUCCUUUGAAGGAUUUGGAGGAAUUCUUGGCUUACGAAAAAGUCCUGGCUGCAAGUGAUGAAAAGAAGCUGCAACUGAAAAGGUACAUCAAAAUAAUUGGCGGGGACGAUGCAAAGGAAAAAACUUCCCGAAUACUUAAGAAGCUUCUGACUUACGACAUAGGAGUGGCCUUCACUUGGUAUGGUACAAAAGACAAGAGGAGGUUCUGUGACCUGCAGUUCUGUCAGCUGAUGUGUGGUGGCUUAACAGAACAACAAAACAAGAAAGAAGCAGAAGUCACUCUUAAAGAUAUUGAGAAAACAACAAUGACAUGGCUGCGCCAUGCCAAAGAGCGCCUGGACAACUGCCAGAAAAGGGGAGCUGCACAGAUGGCACACCCAGAGGAAGAUGAGGAUGACUGAAAUCUGGAAUUGUUUUCUUUCCAAGUGAAGAUGUGCUGUUAUUUUAAUGAACAGUUCCUUAAGCCUCGUUCAGGUUCCAACUAGUCAAUAAUUUAUUUGUUUUGUAAAACAGACUACUUUAUUUUUAUGAACAGUUGCAGUCUGGAAUUUUUUUUUAGUUCUCUAAAGAGGUGGUUUUAUUUUUAUGAACAGUUGCUUCAACCUUUUUCUAUAAGCUUUGUUAAGUCACUAACGAGUCAUUUAUAUCUUUGUUAUCAGACUAUUUUAUUUUUAUCAACAGUUGCUUAAGGCUUCUUGGAUAAACCAUCAUGAAACCACUUACAACUAGUCUCUUUUUCUUGUGAAAGCAGACUAUUUUCUUGUAAAAGCAAAAGUAUGUUUGUAACACGAUUUUAUGAUCCAGUGUUAGUGUUCUUACAAUAAAAUUUAAAAGCUGCCUUA